AUGAACGCUGGCGGCGUGCCUAAUACAUGCAAGUCGAGCGAACAGACGAGGAGCUUGCUCCUCUGACGUUAGCGGCGGACGGGUGAGUAACACGUGGAUAACCUACCUAUAUGACUGGGAUAACUUCGGGAAACCGGAGCUAAUACCGGAUAAUAUAUUGAACCGCAUGGUUCAAUAGUGAAAGACGGUUUUGCUGUCACUUAUAGAUGGAUCCGCGCCGCAUUGGCUAGUUGGUAAGGUAACGGCUUACCAAGGCAACGAUGCGUAGCCGACCUGAGAGGGUGAUCGGCCACACUGGAACUGAGACACGGUCCAGGCUCCUACGGGAGGCAGCAGUAGGGAAUCUUCCGCACUGGGCGAAAGCCUGACGGAGCAACGCAGCGUGAGUGAUGAAGGUCUGCGGAUCGUAAAACUCUGUUAUUAAGGAAGAACAAAUGUGUAAGUAACUAUGCACGUCUUGACGGGACCUAAUCAGAAAGCCACGGCUAACUACGU
rnacentral:rRNA from 1 species